AUGAUACUUGAAAUCUUCUCGCCAAACACACCUAAUAAAGGCAGCGCCAGAAGCCAAGAUAAUUCCUUGGGUCACUUCUCUCAUCUUUCUCCCAACCAUUUUUCAACAAUCCUCUUCUAUAUUGUUUUAUCUCCUUGUGCUAUUCUUUCACCUGUCUCACAUCUUCAGCAAAAAGAGUGAGGCAGGCAAUUAUCUAAUCUUAUUCCCCAUUAGAAUUCUAGAUAUAGGAUCAUAAACGGGCUCCCUUCCGGGUUUGGGAAGAGAUAACAAGGCAUCUUGUGGUUCAAACAUCUUGUGCUUGGUGUGGUCAGUGCUAUCUUUCAGCAUAAGCAGCUCACGUCACAGGUUUCUCGCGAGGACACUAAUCAUGGCAGCCUUCUUUCAGAUCUCAGAUUCUGGGAAGCAUGGAUUCCUUCAAAGCUCCUGAUCUUGGCUCCAGAUUAUUAAAUUAAACUUGCAAUCAGAGUAAAUGCAUUGAGUUUUUGAAUUAUCAGUCUGAGUACCAUUAACUCGUUUUGUGAUAGAAACUCACGGCUAGGAAGAUCAAAUGGGAAGCAGCAUGAGAGGAACCAGAAUGGCAACCAGUUCACGCACGAGGCUUUCGAAAACCCAACCACAAGAGCCCGACCUCAAAUCUGAUCCAUCCACCUAUUUCAACAUGGAAUCCUUUCUGCUACUCCUCUUCCUCACUGCAUCACUGUUGAUACUUCCUCUCAUACUACCUCCCUUGCCUCCUCCCCCUUCCAUGUUGCUUCUGGUUCCCAUUGGCCUUCUCCUUGUACUUUUGAUUCUAGCUUUUAUGCCUACAGAUGUACGUAACAUUGCGCCCUCUUACCUAUAAAUAUGGUGUAUAAGCUCUCACUUUCCACACGAAGAGUUCAGCAUAUUUCUUCCUUUAUCUUUUUUGAAUGAUACCAAAAAACAAAAAUGCUCCCAACAUGCAAAUCGAUAUGCUUAAGCUGAGACCCUUGCAAUAGUUUCUUUGGAGGAUGAAUAAAUGAUUCUGUAAGUCAUAACUUUUGCAACAAGAAGAAAAAUAGCUCCAGCUGAGAAUCACGAGGCUCCUGGAAAAAUGAACAGACUGCAAAUAUGCAGUUUUGUCAGAGAAUAUCUUAAAUGUCAUGGACUAAAACUCGUAAAUAACGAGGAAGGUUUUGUUUUGUCAACAAAAGAGAGAUUGCCUUUUCAUAUGUUAGUUGUUUAUUCUUCUGCAUCAUGUAAUUAUAGAUAUUGAAAAGAAAAGAAUCAAUCUCCAAAAGUGCAAUUUAUUGGAAGAAACCCCCACAGUUGGAGCAGGAAAAAGUUUGGUAAAACAUAUUUUGUCCAGGUUAGUUGUUUAUCAUGAAUGCAAGAAAACAGAAGUGUCCUUGAGGAAUGGAUUAUAGGAAGAGGUUAGUAUCAAUGUAAGAACUGAGAGGAAAGGAUCGAUGAGUUUAGUUGUAAAUCUAUUCAUAUAUUCCCAUGGGCGCCAGCAGAUAUACACACACACGACAACCUCACAUAACAACUCUAUCACAGUAUACUAGUCCCCGGGGCAUGAUGUCGCGGUAAGACAUCCAGGUUGUCAUCCAGGCACCCGCGGUUCGAUCCUCAGCUUCCCGAUUUAUCCUGGUGGUCGGUGGGAAACUUCCGUGAGGCCGGGCCGGUCACCCCAGGGAUAGUCAAUGAGACUAACUGGGAUUAUCAUUUUUUUUUUCUAUCACAGUAUACUAGAUUUUUCAGUAGCCUGCAUAGCCAGUUGUUUUUCUUUCCUCAAACUCAAUUCCGAGCUAGAAUGCAACUACAAAUUUGGAACAAGUCAUACUAUUAUACGAAUAGCAUUGAUAGGCAAAGAUAUUCUUAAUAUAAUUCACGUACCUAAUUCAUAUUUGCUUUAUUGUGCAUCACACAGGUUAUAAGCCAAUAUUUUCCUAACUGCAUUGGUUAUUUGAGAGCAUGAUCAUCCUUACCUACCAAUUCCAUGAUGUUCGUUUGGUCUUUUAGUGAACGUUCAAGCAUGAAUAAAACAAGGUGGCAGAGUUUCUCUAGAAGCUAGUAAAAUAUACAAGUACUAAGUGGACAAAGACUACAAUGAACUCCUAAAGAAGGGCACUACAAGGUCAAGACAUGGUCUAUGGGAUUAAGAAAACUAGAUCAUCUAACCGUGAAGGUUGUUGAUAUUCCUAACACAGACAGGGUCAUGUGUGAAUUGACGGAUGCACAAUUACUAACUCUUGUAAUAGAAGAUUGAACUCAACCUCAUCAACAUCUUCAGGUUAUCGCUCAAGUCUGAUAUCCACGACCUGCUACAGCUAGUUUCAUCAUGUCAAAUAGAUGCUCGAGUUAUGCAAGGUGGCCUUAAAGCACCUUGCUAUUAUUUUCCUCCAUAUUGUGUACCUUGAACUGUUGCAGGCAUAUCCAUUCCCUUGUUACGGUUGAAUAGUUCUGCAAUUGUAGUUCAAACCUAGUCAAAUCAGUCUUGUGGGGGUGGUAAAUGCAACUUUUAGAACAAGAACGGACAGUUAAUUGA